rnacentral:rRNA from 1 species
UACGUAGGGCGCAAGCGUUGUCCGGAAUUAUUGGGCGUAAAGGGCUCGUAGGCGGUUUGUCACGUCAGGAGUGAAAACUCGGGGCUCAACCCCGAGCCUGCUUCUGAUACGGGCAGACUAGAGGUAUGCAGGGGAGAACGGAAUUCCUGGUGUAGCGGUGAAAUGCGCAGAUAUCAGGAGGAACACCGGUGGCGAAGGCGGUUCUCUGGGCAUUACCUGACGCUGAGGAGCGAAAGUGUGGGGAGCGAACAGG